rnacentral:rRNA from 1 species
ACACAUGCAGUCGAGCGGAUGACAGGAGCUUGCUCCUGAAUUCAGCGGCGGACGGGUGAGUAAUGCCUAGGAAUCUGCCUGGUAGUGGGGGACAACGUUUCGAAAGGAACGCUAAUACCGCAUACGUCCUACGGGAGAAAGCAGGGGACCUUCGGGCCUUGCGCUAUCAGAUGAGCCUAGGUCGGAUUAGCUAGUUGGUGAGGUAAUGGCUCACCAAGGCGACGAUCCGUAACUGGUCUGAGAGGAUGAUCAGUCACACUGGAACUGAGACACGGUCCAGACUCCUACGGGAGGCAGCAGUGGGGAAUAUUGGACAAUGGGCGAAAGCCUGAUCCAGCCAUGCCGCGUGUGUGAAGAAGGUCUUCGGAUUGUAAAGCACUUUAAGUUGGGAGGAAGGGCAUUAACCUAAUACGUUAGUGUUUUGACGUUACCGACAGAAUAAGCACCGGCUAACUCUGUGCCAGCAGCCGCGGUAAUACAGAGGGUGCAAGCGUUAAUCGGAAUUACUGGGCGUAAAGCGCGCGUAGGUGGUUUGUUAAGUUGGAUGUGAAAUCCCCGGGCUCAACCUGGGAACUGCAUUCAAAACUGACAAGCUAGAGUAUGGUAGAGGGUGGGUGGAAUUACCUGUGUAGCGGUGAAAUGCGUAGAUAUAGGAAGGAACACCAGUGGCGAAAGCGACCACCUGGACUGAUACUGACACUGAGGUGCGAAAGCGUGGGGAGCAAACAGGAU